rnacentral:rRNA from 1 species
AGUGAACGCUGGCGGUAGGCCUAACACAUGCAAGUCGAACGGCAGCACAGUAAGAGCUUGCUCUUACGGGUGGCGAGUGGCGGACGGGUGAGGAAUACAUCGGAAUCUACUUUUUCGUGGGGGAUAACGUAGGGAAACUUACGCUAAUACCGCAUACGACCUACGGGUGAAAGCAGGGGAUCUUCGGACCUUGCGCGAUUGAAUGAGCCGCUGUCGGAUUAGCUAGUUGGCGGGGUAAAGGCCCACCAAGGCGACGAUCCGUAGCUGGUCUGAGAGGAUGAUCGGCCACACUGGAACUGAGACACGGUCCAGACUCCUACGGGAGGCAGCAGUGGGGAAUAUUGGACAAUGGGCGCAAGCCUGAUCCAGCCAGACCGCGUGGGUGAAGGAGGCCUUCGGGUUGUAAAGCCCUUUUGUUGGGAAAGAAAAGCAGCAGGUUAAUACCCCGCUGUUCUGACGGUACCCAAAGAAUAAGCACCGGCUAACUUCGUG